rnacentral:tRNA from 1 species
GGACCCCCAGCUCAGUUGGUUAGAGCGUUGGUCUUAUGAGGCGAAGGUCGCGGGUUCGAGCCCCGCCGGGACCA